AUGGCUGCGGGCGCGUUUGAGCGCUCGCGCGCGGCGACCCGUCUGUCUCCUUUUUUUCUUUAAAUGUAACCUGGUUUAUUGGGCUCUCGGCGUAUUCUUGCGUUCCAUCUGCACUGGGACAAGACACCACUGCACUAUUGGACUACGGCAAGCUGGUGCCGUCCGGUGGAGCUUCAUACAGGAACUACUGCCUUACCUGCUGGUGUCACAACGUUGGAUGAACGCACAAAAAGCGCGUAACGAGCUUUUAUAUAGAGCAAAAUAAAUAUUUUCUCAUUGCACAAAA